AUGAACGCUGGCGGCGUGCCUAAUACAUGCAAGUCGAGCGAACAGAUAAGGAGCUUGCUCCUUUGAAGUUAGCGGUGGACGGGUGAGUAACACGUGGGUAACCUACCUAUAAGACUGGGAUAACUUCGGGAAACCGGAGCUAAUACCGGAUAACAUUUAGAACCGCAUGGUUCUAAAGUGAAAGAUGGUUUUGCUAUCACUUAUAGAUGGACCCGCGCCGUAUUAGCUAGUUGGUAAGGUAACGGCUUACCAAGGCGACGAUACGUAGCCGACCUGAGAGGGUGAUCGGCCACACUGGAACUGAGACACGGUCCAGACUCCUACGGGAGGCAGCAGUAGGGAAUCUUCCGCAAUGGGCGAAAGCCUGACGGAGCAACGCCGCGUGAGUGAUGAAGGGUUUCGGCUCGUAAAACUCUGUUAUUAGGGAAGAACAAAUGUGUAAGUAACUGUGCACAUCUUGACGGUACCUAAUCAGAAAGCCACGGCUAACUACGUG
rnacentral:rRNA from 1 species